UGGCUGUUCAAAAAAAUCGGAGGGUGAACUGUUUGAUUCUUUAAAUCUGACUAGUUCGCAAUUGGAGGAUUUAAUAGCUGAAACAGAUUGUCUUUUUGAGAAUAAAAAUCCUGCCUCAGCCAAAGAGUCCCCAGAAACAGAAUACUCGACGC